GAGCUGUGAUGAAAUCGGUUUCUGUAAAGGUUGGGUCCUUUGCAUUUCUCCAGUUUAUCUGGUGAUAUGGCCUCUUAACUGAGCUC